AUGUUAGGGAAUUCUUUGCUAGCUGAGGAAGAACUGGCGCUUGCAAGUAGAUGUGGUUUGUUCUCAUCAAGCAUGCAACAGUCUCACACAUCGACCUGUCCUACUAUCACAUAUGAAGAAGCUCUUAGAAGGGAACUGGAAUAUCGGCGAAGGUUGGAACGUACUCAUCCACAUCUGUUGAUUGCUCUUAAUGAAGCUCCUGCGCUAUCCAGAGAGACCUGUACAGAUUCAACACCUGAUGUGUUGAAGAGAAAGUUAACUCCUGAGAGUAAUAUGCCUUCACCGCAGUCAAGCUUUAAUUUCACCGCCGCAAGAAGCCAGCCAGCAAAUUGGUACCCCCCAAAGAAAAAAGUAAUUGUUCGACAGCCUGCAUCACAGGCUAUGCAGGCUGUUCAAAUACCCAGAACAAAUUCUGUACCUUCCUUUUGGUGCAAAAUAUGCAAGGUGGAUUGUGUCACUGAAUUCAAUUUCGGCGCCCAUAUUGGAGGGAAAAAGCACAAACUUAAGAAGCAACUGAUUCUUGGUAAUAUGAACACUGGAAGACCUGGCACUGGCAGUCAGUUUGCGGGUAACACAAACCGUGGACCAAGUGAGAAUGCAGUUUCUGGAAGUAGAAAUGAUGAACCAAAUGCAGGUAGCAGCAGUAUUGCUGGACCAAGCAGCAGCGUGUCCUCUGGAAGCAGACCCAGCGAAGCAAACCCCUGA
rnacentral:rRNA from 1 species